rnacentral:rRNA from 1 species
GACGAACGCUGGCGGCGUGCCUAAUACAUGCAAGUAGAACGCACAGUUUAUACCGUAGCUUGCUACACCAUAGACUGUGAGUUGCGAACGGGUGAGUAACGCGUAGGUAACCUGCCUGGUAGCGGGGGAUAACUAUUGGAAACGAUAGCUAAUACCGCAUAAUAUUGAUUAUUGCAUGAUAAUUAAUUGAAAGGUGCAAUUGCACCACUACCAGAUGGACCUGCGUUGGAUUAGCUAGUAGGUGAGGUAACGGCUCACCUAGGCGACGAUACAUAGCCGACCUGAGAGGGUGAGCGGCCACACUGGGACUGAGACACGGCCCAGACCCCUACGGGAGGCAGCAGUAGGGAAUCUUCGGCAAUGGACGAAAGUCGGACCGAGCAACGCCGCGUGAGGGAAGAAGGUUUUCGGAUCGUAAAGCUCUGUUGUAAGAGAAGAACGGGUGUGAGAGUGGAAAGUUCACACUGUGACGGUAUCUUACCAGAAAGAGACGGCUAACUACGUG